GCGCAUUGCCGACCCAAAUGCAAAACUGAGCGAGUGAUGAACGGACGACCGACCCAAACGGACAAAAAAACGAACAGAUACGUUGGAUCGCUCAUUGGAGUUGCUCUAAGGCCCGUGACCCCACAUCGCGCGCGUCCGCAAUUAUUUUCCUGUUCGCGCGCAGCUCGGGGAGUGGCGGGCGGGUAGGUCGCCUGCGCCGCCGACAUCGCAGCGACUCUCCGGCUGUGCUCUGCUCCACCACCCAACCACCCUUUCGACGUACUCCAGGAGGAUUCAACCGGCUGUUACCGGAGCCCGCGCCGUGCCCGUGCUGCGCCCGUGCGAGGACAACGCGACAAGGGAAAAGAAGGUCAUAAUCCCGAGCUUUCUGGGAACUUCGCCUGGGAUAUUUGUGUUGUUUCCAAGAAACUCCAAUAGCCAGAGAACAACCCAUGUGUA